AGGCGACGAUGCGUAGGGGUUCUGAGAGGAAGGUCCCCCACACUGGUACUGAGACACGGACCAGACUCCUACGGGAGGCAGCAGUGAGGAAUAUUGGUCAAUGGCCGCAGGGCUGAACCAGCCAAGUCGCGUGAGGGAUGACGGUCCUAUGGAUUGUAAACCUCUUUUGUCAGGGAGCAAAGGGCGCCACGUGUGGCGUUUUGCGAGUACCUGAAGAAAAAGCAUCGGCUAACUCCGUGCCAGCAGCCGCGGUAAUACGGAGGAUGCGAGCGUUAUCCGGAUUUAUUGGGUUUAAAGGGUGCGCAGGCGGAAUGUCAAGUCAGCGGUAAAAUUUCGGGGCUCAACCCCGUCGUGCCGUUGAAACUGGCGUUCUUGAGUGAGCGAGAAGUAUGCGGAAUGCGUGGUGUAGCGGUGAAAUGCAUAGAUAUCACGCAGAACUCCGAUUGCGAAGGCAGCAUACCGGCGCUCAACUGACGCUCAUGCACGAAAGCGUGGGUAUCGAACAGGAUUAGAUACCCUGGUAGUCCACGCAGUAAACGAUGAAUACUAACUGUCCGGGCAGAAUGAUGCCUGG
rnacentral:rRNA from 1 species